CUGAGGAGUGUGAUGUGUACGAAUGCCAAGGUAGGGUAGAGAGGCUAGUAGUUAAUUAAAAUGCAUCUCACCGUAAUCUAUGAAUUAACCAUGGUAAAUCAGUAUGGUUUGAUGUAAACACCAGGUGGGGUAAUUUAUUCGUGUUUUACUAUUAAAAAGCAUGCUGAAAACCAGCAAUAUAAUGAUAAAGAUUACAACUUUUUGGCCUUAUCCACCUUUUUC
rnacentral:lncRNA from 1 species